rnacentral:piRNA from 1 species
CCCCUUCUUGAUGCCAGGACCUACUGAGU